rnacentral:lncRNA from 1 species
AGGAAUCGUAUCAAGGUUUUCGUACAUAUAAAGAACCCUAAAAUCCGAGUUAUAACGAAGAAGUUAUGACCAACCGAAGAUUCUCGGCAAAACCGGCAACACCGAUUAAACGAAAAAUGCGAAGUUUCAAUACAAUAGUUUAUAGCCUUAAGUAUCUAAAUGAAAGUUAUAGAUAACCUCAAACCGUGAGCAUACAUAAAAAGAACGUCCAAAUCUGACUUCGUAUGAGGAAGUUAUGAUUUUUCCAAGAUUCGGGUAUAGCAGUAGACAGCUAAAAACUCGAAAUAGAGCUCGAGAUACUUUUGACCAAAACAACCUAAAUGAGAAUCUAAGGUCUCAACAUUAGUAGCGCAACGGCGAAAAGUCUGACGAAAACGGACACCGGAUGAAGAAGUUAUGGAAUUUUAACGGACUUUUCGUGUCCCGGCCCGUUAAAAAUAAAUAAUUAAAAAUAAAUUCAAAAUUUGCCGAUGAAGUCUAAACGAGAGUUGUAGAUCAUAUUUUUAGCUACGCGUGCAUAUAAAGAACGUCGAAAACGGAGCUCGUAUGCGAAAGUUAUGGAUUUUACAAGUUCGGGGUCCAAAAUCCGAUGCUGUCAGGCCCCACGACGUGGCACAAGCUUGCCGCGACCCGGCAAGUGACUGAGGGCGUCCAAUCAAUGGAAGAGGAUAGGUUUGACUCCCCACGACGUGGCCAUCACUUGCCACGACGUGGCACACCCCAAAAAUGCCCCUAUAAAUAGAUUUCAAGGGCUCCGAGUUCCAUUGCUCAGUUCCUUUCUUUCUCGCGCCGAAACUCUGCGUUUAAGCCCCCGAGACCCUCCCAAAGCCCCGGUUUUCACCUUCAAGUCCCGAAGGAAGGUUUUGUGUUCUCGAGAUUCCCGAGAAUCCUGAGAUUUUCCCGUGUUUUCAACUCUUCCUGUCGAAGUUCUGCUCGAUUCUUCUCUCGACUACUUCAAAUCAACCACUUCAAUCAAGUGAGUUCAUACCCCUAAUCAAUAUUUUAAAUGAUUUUAAAUGCUUUAAAGGGGGGGAAUACAAGUAGAAACAAACAUGUUAUUGAAUCAUUGAUAUGUAUUUUAUAACUAUGUUUGUCAUUUAACGGAUUUCACAUGCUACAAAAUGUGAUGCAUGAAAUGGUUUUACAUCUUAAAAACACAUUGUUACCAAAUGUUUUACCUUUGAAAUGUUUAUUAAAAUGACAUCAAGUCAUUGUUAAUUGUUGUUCAAAACCCAUAAGAGGUCUUACAAAACCAUUUUUACAUUCUUGAACUAGACUAUGCAUAUACAUCUAUAUUCUUAUAUAUGUAUUGAUAUUAUAGUUUACAUGUUUCAUUUAGUUUCCCACACCCUUGAGUAGUUAGAGUGUAUAAACCUACAUGAUCAUCCAAUUAUAUUACAGUAGAUUAUCAUAGGGAUAAUUUGAAGAUAUCAAACAUUACUUCUAUUACAAGGAAUCACACAAGAGUCAGUUCAUUCAUGAGUCUAUACUAGUACAUUACCUGAUACAUGAGUACUUACAAAUGUUUACCUGAUACAUGAAUAUGUUUACAUAUAUUUACCUGUUACAUAGACACACAUACAUGAAUGCCAUAUAGGAAUACUUUUACAUAGGUGCAUUAUCCUGUAUUCACUUACCUGGAUACUUGUACUUAGAACUAAGAGGAUAAUUUAUUAGUACUUUCUGUGUAAAUUAUCUUUCCUAUCCCGGUUCAAUGGGAUAUCUAGGCGGGACUCACCAUUCCCAACCCUACUGAUUAGCACCAGUGGUCGAUAACCAUCUACGGAGGUCUAAGAUUACUACUUAUAUUAGGAAGAUCGAUUUGGGACUAACCCUUCCGCCCACCUGCUGCUGCUAUAGAGGACAUUUGGACAAUCUUCGGAUGUUCAUUAGGUUGUACAUUUCGCUUAAUGCGAUGUUGUGUUGGUCCUAGUACCUAGUGACAACACAUACAAUAUUACAUUUUUCCUGUUUACUUUAUUUUGUGAUACAAUUCACAUAAACGAUGAGUUAGACUAAGCACUUUUAGUACUAGUGAAAACAAAGGAAAAACUAUCAUUUUACAAACAAAACAUCCAGGUCUUGGUAGAAGACUACACGUCAUACUUACAAAACAUUCGGGUCUUGGUAGAAGACUGCACUUCAUACUUACAAAACAUUUGGGUCUUGGUAGAAGACUACACCUCAUACGUACAGAACAUUCGGGUCUUGGUAGAAGACUACAUUUCAUACUUAUAGAAAAUAAGGGUUUUUCUAGGGAUUUCAUACUUACCUCAACAUUUUCAUUUAAAGCUUUACAUGGCUUUCAUAACAGAUUUUCACAAAUAAGGCAAUGACACUUAUAUACUUAUGAAUUCACCAGCUUUAAAGCUGAUACUCGCUUUCAAAAUUACUUGUAUCCUCACGUCAUCAUAGACAGGUACCGAUGCAAGGAGAAAGGAAGAUGGAGCUUGUUCAAGACUUAUCUUUCAUUUUGAUUUAUGCUUUAGUGUUUAUCAAAAUUUGACAGAAUACAAUUGUAUAAUAAUUAUUUUAUUAAUGCAAUGGAUGAUGUUGUUGCUUGUUUACUACUUUACAUUGUUGUUGAUAUUAUACAUGACGUCCUCCGCCCCAGAACGUUUCCGCCGUUCUCGGUUUUGGGGUGUGACAGAUUGGUAUCAGAGCAUUGUUUAUAGUGAAUUAAGUAUAUCAACCCAUAAAAGAUAUACUAACUAUAAAUACAUAAGGGAUUAAAAAUACUCUGACCAAGAGUUUAUACUUUAAAUAGUAAAAUAUUUAAGUAAGUAUACGUGCUGCAUUCAUACUAAAAUCAGUGUCACUAGGACAGUACAAAAGAAUUACGAUUGUUGGGCAACACAAGUGGGCUUAGAGACAUAUGGUCAAAACUGGGAAGAUAUAGCCUGAUCACCUAUAUUAUCCGAGGGUUGACUAGCAUGUGCCUAAGUUUAAGUGUGUGGUUGCAACAAUGCUAAAAUCUUACCAACCCUACCACAAUGAGAACAAUAGAACAUAACAAUAAAUUUAAAAUACUAUAGGUGUAUUUUGGUGUUACUAUAAGUACUUUAUACUUGAGAAUUAAAACGGGAUCCUCAUUACUAAGUUGAUAGUUGCUAAGUGGAUACACUAAGGCUACAUGUAAUUAGGAUGUUAUAGACUUAGAAUCAGUGAUAAUUUUGCCUUACCCCUAUUCUGUGUGAAUUUGGAAAUAAGGUCACUUAUUCGAAGGUCUAUCCUGUUUAGAUUACACAUAGCUGGUAUGCACUUCACAAAUAGCGAUGUAACUAAUGAAGGUUUUCUAAAUAAUUAUCUAGAUAGUUCGUCUAAUAAUUAUCCUCUUACCCUAAAUUCUCGCAUAGAAAUCAUAGCUGGACUCCAUCCCCUUGACAACCAGUAUCUUCCGAAUGAAGUCAUAGCUGGUUGGUUUGGAGAAGAACCAGAGAAUGAUCAUCCUAUCCCCUUGGAUGAUCACCGUGAUGAAGACUUUUCGUAUGAUGCUAACUCCGAACCAGAGGUUGAGAACCUACCCCAAGCAGCUCCUUUCCAAUUCCUAACCCUCGUCCGGCUUUUCAUGGCCCGACCCUGAGUGAGUGGAAUGCUUGGAAACAGGGAGCCAAGGACAAGAUCAGUUUAUGCUAUUUGAUGGCGACCGAAGCUUUUACGACUUGAGCAAUGGGGGCUCAGCAGAUAGAGUCUUGCCAAUCUUGGUCCGCAGAGAGGCCCGAAAUGAGAUUCAAGGCAGGACAGCCCUACAUCAGAUUGCAGAAGUAGGCGCCUAUGCUAGAAUGCAUACCCUCCACACCAUUCAUCUAGAAGAUGCUCACGAGAGAUCAGAGAGAAACCAUGAAACCCUACUGCAAGCACUGACUGAAUCACGAGCCGAAGUCAUAGGGCUCCAAGUACGCCAGAUGGGGUGCGAAAGACACCUACUUGACAUGGAACGUCAAUUGGUUGAACUAAGAGUUCACCAUAGGAAUGACCGUCGCCGGUAGUAGACGCUUUACUUUAUUUCCCUUAUAAAAAGAGGAAUCGUAUUUUUCUGUCUAUGCCUGAUGUGGCAUUUUCUAUGAAAUUAUCUUGUACCGUAAGUACUUUAGUUAGGUCUUUAUACUGUUAGGAACUAUCUCCUAUGGAUAUGAUGUAAGACCUUUACAAGGUCAUUUUCCUGAACCUUUACGUCGUAAAUAUCCAAGAUAUUGACAGUCGGCUAACUUUUGUGUCAUUUCCUUCAUUCAAGUACUCUUAUCAUACUCUCAUUGGAGUCUAUCUGAAACCUGCUUUAGUUAAGUCAUUGGACCAUAGCAAGUUAGAUACGGAGACAUUUCCAAGUCUCUUUCAGUGGUUGGAUUUUAUUAUUCACCAACCCACGAUACCUCAACUUGUACAACAAAUGUCUUGAGACCAUUCUACGAACUUACCUCUACUCAUUACUAGGACUGCAUCAUAGGGAUGUAGGUCAAACCUUCGCAAACAUACUUUCAUCCUGUACUAGGACUGCAUCAUAGGGAUGUAGGUCAAACUUUCGAGAACAUCGUCAUACUCUUUACAUGAACAAUCUAAAUUCUCAGGAUCACGGCUACAAGAGAGCCUACUCCGAAACCACGUUAAAUGUAAUUUGGGCGUUUCAUUGUAACAGACUUAUAAACUAUCGAGAACUAGUGCAACUAGAGUCUUACCUUUUGAGAGAUCCUGUUUGUAUAGGAAUUCUCGUGUUGCGUAUACUUGUCUUUUGUAGUAUAUCUUAUUCGCAGCAAUAGUCUUGUGGUAAAUCUAAAGUACUGAAACUUUGUUCAUGGUUGCACGGUUGUAUUUUGUCUGUGAACGUCUUAUGUUCAAAUCUAAUGUCUUUAAAUUUCAGUAUGAUUCCGACAUUAUCAUACGACUCGAUUAAAUCUGAUCCUCACGAAAACAGCUUUUUACGUACAUCUCUUUCUUGUAGAUCAUUUUUCCAGCGAAGCCGUCAUAUCAGAACACCGUAGUUUUUCGCCAGAGACGCCGACAGUUUAUCGCCAAAUUCUAGGUCUUACCGACCUACCGCCUUAGUUCAUUCAGAACUCCUCGCAAGCUACAGAAACUCGUACGACUUUGACCCAGCAAGGGGUGGCCUUUGACUGGGAAGUUACGCAAGAAAAGGAACCUUUGAGAUUCCAAGUGAGUGACCAAGUUCUUUAGGAUCACUCACUCUGGAAAUGGCUUAACACGCUUCGUAAAGCGUGGAAAGCUAAAUCCAAGUUAGACAGGACCUCCGAGAUUCUUAUCAGAAUCGGUCUCGUGCCUCACACAAACUAGACCUACUCCGCGAACUCAGUAAUGUACUUUCUACUCUUCGCAUCUCGAUCUUAAAAACCAUACCUUUCCGUUAGGACUCUUGCAAGUCCACUCGUCGAGAUCCUCGCCUUCGUAUUAGAACCGUAGUGACCCUCGACCGAGAGGUCAAGUGGACAAAGAAACGCCAUCGCCAGUUAGUGAAGGUUCGUUGGAAUGCCAACCGAGAACCCGUUAUCACUUAGGUGCGCUAGAACCAAUCGAUUAGGAAGUUUCCUCCUCACGACUCGAUCAUUCGUGCAUACUUCCUUGUUUAAAUUCUAAUUUCGGGACGAAAUUCCUUCUAACGGGGGGAUGAUGUGACAACCCGAUAUUUCGAGACAAUGUAAUGUAAAACCAAUCAAAUUUAGGUCAAAAUAUAACUUUCCUAAAAUCUUAUUUGGGUUAAAUAAAGUAGUAGGAAUCGUAUCAAGGUUUUCGUACAUAUAAAGAACCCUAAAAUCCGAGUUAUAACGAAGAAGUUAUGACCAACCGAAGAUUCUCGGCAAAACCGGCAACACCGAUUAAACGAAAAACGCGAAGUUUCAAUACAAUAGUUUUUAGCCUUAAGUAUCUAAAUGAAAGUUAUAGAUAACCUCAAACCGUGAGCGUACAUAAAAAGAACGUCCAAAUCUGACUUCGUAUGAGAAAGUUAUGAUUUUUCCAAGAUUCGGGUAUAGCAGUAGACAGCUAAAAACUCGAAAUAGAGCUCGAGAUACUUUUGACCAAAACAACCUAAAUGAGAAUCUAAGGUCUCAACAUUAGUAGCGCAAUGGCGAAAAGUCUGACGAAAACGGACAC